GAUGAACGCUGGCGGCGUGCCUAAUACAUGCAAGUCGAGCGAACGGACGAGAAGCUUGCUUCUCUGAUGUUAGCGGCGGACGGGUGAGUAACACGUGGAUAACCUACCUAUAAGACUGGGAUAACUUCGGGAAACCGGAGCUAAUACCGGAUAAUAUUUUGAACCGCAUGGUUCAAAAGUGAAAGACGGUCUUGCUGUCACUUAUAGAUGGAUCCGCGCUGCAUUAGCUAGUUGGUAAGGUAACGGCUUACCAAGGCAACGAUGCAUAGCCGACCUGAGAGGGUGAUCGGCCACACUGGAACUGAGACACGGUCCAGACUCCUACGGGAGGCAGCAGUAGGGAAUCUUCCGCAAUGGGCGAAAGCCUGACGGAGCAACGCCGCGUGAGUGAUGAAGGUCUUCGGAUCGUAAAACUCUGUUAUUAGGGAAGAACAUAUGUGUAAGUAACUGUGCACAUCUUGACGGUACCUAAUCAGAAAGCCACGGCUAACUACGUGCCAGCAGCCGCGGUAAUACGUAGGUGGCAAGCGUUAUCCGGAAUUAUUGGGCGUAAAGCGCGCGUAGGCGGUUUUUUAAGUCUGAUGUGAAAGCCCACGGCUCAACCGUGGAGGGUCAUUGGAAACUGGAAAACUUGAGUGCAGAAGAGGAAAGUGGAAUUCCAUGUGUAGCGGUGAAAUGCGCAGAGAUAUGGAGGAACACCAGUGGCGAAGGCGACUUUCUGGUCUGUAACUGACGCUGAUGUGCGAAAGCGUGGGGAUCAAACAGGAUUAGAUACCCUGGUAGUCCACGCCGUAAACGAUGAGUGCUAAGUGUUAGGGGGUUUCCGCCCCUUAGUGCUGCAGCUAACGCAUUAAGCACUCCGCCUGGGGAGUACGACCGCAAGGUUGAAACUCAAAGGAAUUGACGGGGACCCGCACAAGCGGUGGAGCAUGUGGUUUAAUUCGAAGCAACGCGAAGAACCUUACCAAAUCUUGACAUCCUUUGACAACUCUAGAGAUAGAGCCUUCCCCUUCGGGGGACAAAGUGACAGGUGGUGCAUGGUUGUCGUCAGCUCGUGUCGUGAGAUGUUGGGUUAAGUCCCGCAACGAGCGCAACCCUUAAGCUUAGUUGCCAUCAUUAAGUUGGGCACUCUAAGUUGACUGCCGGUGAUAAACCGGAGGAAGGUGGGGAUGACGUCAAAUCAUCAUGCCCCUUAUGAUUUGGGCUACACACGUGCUACAAUGGACAAUACAAAGGGCAGCGAAACCGCGAGGUCAAGCAAAUCCCAUAAAGUUGUUCUCAGUUCGGAUUGUAGUCUGCAACUCGACUACAUGAAGCUGGAAUCGCUAGUAAUCGUAGAUCAGCAUGCUACGGUGAAUACGUUCCCGGGUCU
rnacentral:rRNA from 1 species